UACGUAGGGUGCGAGCGUUUAAUCGGAAUUACUGGGCGUAAAGCGUGCGCAGGCGGUUCGCUAAGACCGAUGUGAAAUCCCCGGGCUUAACCUGGGAACUGCAUUGGUGACUGGCGGGCUAGAAUCUGGCAGAGGGGGGUAGAAUUCCACGUGUAGCAGUGAAAUGCGUAGAUAUGUGGAGGAACACCGAUGGCGAAGGCAGCCCCCUGGGUCAAGAUUGACGCUCAUGCACGAAAGCGUGGGGAGCAAACAGG
rnacentral:rRNA from 1 species